CCACUCCGCUAGCUCGCAGUGCCCAAGGCAGUCCCUGGCCUUUUUGGAGAUCACAGCCUUAGCGAGGACUACUGAAAUGAAACCAAAGGGGGUGUCCUUGUGGAAACAUAUGGCUGGGGCUGAAAGAAUGGGAGGAGCAACUGUAUUUCAGGAAUGUCGGGUGUGCUGUGGUUAAAACAAACAAACAAAACAACAGAAAACAAUCAAAACACCUCCAAAAUGCAAUAAUGUUAUGCAAUGAAGAUUUUCUUGCACACACAUUCCAUUGCAGACUGUGUGACUCUCCAAGGCAGCCAUCCUUUCUACAGAAAUCAUGACUGCUUGUUUCUCCUGGUGUCUUACCAACAUGCGCCAGCUUCCAGGUGAGGCAGAAAAAGCGGACCUGGUGGGGGUGGUGUCUCACACCUGCAUUUAAGCGCCUUUGAGUGGAAGAACCCCCACCCUGCUCUCUCCUGCUCACGUGCCAUUGGCUGGGACAGAUCACGUGGCCGCAGCUAAGCGCAGGGGAGGCUGGGAGAGACGCCUUGCCCAGAGCAGGUGCAGGUGGAGGAGAUGGACAGACGGGCACAUGGCAUCGUCUCUUCUGCGGUGACUCACGUGGCUGGAGCCCAGAAAGAGAAGCUCGGCACCGGCUGCUGCAUGCCUGCCAGGAACCCAUGAGAAACCAAUAUGAACAGGACAUCUUAGAAGCCAUUGAUCACAUCUAUGUUGACUAUUUUUUGGUGGAGGGAGUUUUGCCUUUUCCAGAAUGUCAUCGGGUUGGAAUCAUAUGGUCUGGAUAACACGUCAUCAUCUAGAUGUACUGGUGUGUGUCCAUCCACCUGCUGAAGCACAUCAGUUAUGAACAAAGCUGCUGUCAACACCUCUGUGCAGACGUUCAUGUGGACACAAGUUUUCCGUUCCUGCGGGUGCAUACCACGGAGCACACUUGCUGGAUCGUACAGUUGGAGGUUCACCUACUCCUGGACUCUCAGGUGUUAAGACCACAAAAGACCCAAGACCUGAGCCAUGACUGGAGAAGCUGCACUGAAAUUUUCCAGAAGGACCUGAAGGUGGUGCUUCCCAAGCAGCCUUUUGCAUUCCUAACUCCACUUCACCUUCUCCUUCCCAGAAGUCAGACCAGCCAAGGGGGUCAGCAGACGCUGUUUGUGCAUCUUUCAUCUGCUUGGCGCUACUCCUUCCUCCAGCCAUGGCCCAGUGUCUCCAACAGGCUUGGACCAGUUUCUUGCAGGUGCAGCCCUGAAGCCCUCCCCUCUGUCUGUGCCCUGCAUCUCUCACUUCCUAUCAGGGGCUUCUCUGAGGCCCUAGCCUGGGUCUCCCUGUGUUAUUGCGUCCAAGCUCUUGUUGCUCAUUGCGGGACAGGCCAACAAAGAGAGAGACAAGGUCAAGUUGGGGCAAGAAAUAGUGACUUCAUUCAGAAAGCCAGCAAACCAAGAAGGGCCACCACUAGUGUCAGAAUUCGGGCUUCUUUGAUACUAAAAGGGGAGAGGGUGUGGUUGUUUGCUGCAAACUUCUUGGUGUCAGAAUCCUUUGUUCUUGGAGCUGUCCCUGUAGGUCAGCUCAUAACAUUCCUGUAAACCCCCAACAAGACAAAUAUUACUCUCCGUUCUGCAACUUUUUAUCUCUAGCGUUUAUGGAAAAGUUGUUUAUGGAAAAGUGUUACACCAUCGAAGGUCAGAGCCUUGAGAAUAAGCUAUCCUGUGUAUUUCAAGCUAUAGAACACCAAAGUUAAAGCAAAAGAAACAGAUCUAAUAUGGCGUUGGGUUUGUUCUUCCCUAUUAAUAUCAGGAGGACCUGCUGGUGCUCAAGUGCCUGCAAUCAGGAAGCACUGGCCACUCUUGUUCAAGGGUGGGGUGGGUGGUGACUGAGAAUUUCCCUCCCUCUUGUGGCCCUGGUGUAUAGCUCUGAGACACGUGCCUUAAGGCUCCUGGGACGUCCCGUGGAGUCAAGCACGGUGACCCACAUAAGUGGCCAAUGGACCAUGUAAACUUGGCAUGGCAUUUUUUUUUCCAGUGCCAUUUCUACUUCUCUCUCCCUCCUGCCCACAGGAACCACUUCUCAGGCAACUGCCCACAGGCCAGCAAGCCUUUAUCCCAGGUUGAGAUACAGAUGUGCAGCUGAGACACAGAUGUGCAGGCAGGCUUGUUCUCUGUCCCACUUUGCCUCACACACCAGGAACUGCCCAUGGGGCACUUGACCUGAAAUCAGAGACUGGGUUCAAAUUC